GGGCGCAUAGCUCAGUUGGUUAGAGCGUCCGCUUGAUAAGCGGAAGGUCCGUGGUUCAAAUCCACGUGUGCCCA
rnacentral:tRNA from 1 species